rnacentral:pre_miRNA from 1 species
UUAGAUUUUCUUAAUGUUCUUCUAGAAUUUUUCUCAGAUUUUUGUUGUUAAAGGUUGAUGGAGAUGAUAUGAAGAUGAAGAAGAGGAGAAA